CGGCGUGCCUAAUACAUGCAAGUCGAGCGAACGGACGAGAAGCUUGCUUCUCUGAUGUUAGCGGCGGACGGGUGAGUAACACGUGGAUAACCUACCUAUAAGACUGGGAUAACUUCGGGAAACCGGAGCUAAUACCGGAUAAUAUUUUGAACCGCAUGGUUCAAAAGUGAAAGACGGUCUUGCUGUCACUUAUAGAUGGAUCCGCGCUGCAUUAGCUAGUUGGUAAGGUAACGGCUUACCAAGGCAACGAUGCAUAGCCGACCUGAGAGGGUGAUCGGCCACACUGGAACUGAGACACGGUCCAGACUCCUACGGGAGGCAGCAGUAGGGAAUCUUCCGCAAUGGGCGAAAGCCUGACGGAGCAACGCCGCGUGAGUGAUGAAGGUCUUCGGAUCGUAAAACUCUGUUAUUAGGGAAGAACAUAUGUGUAAGUAACUGUGCACAUCUUGACGGUACCUAAUCAGAAAGCCACGGCUAACUACGUGCCAGCAGCCGCGGUAAUACGUAGGUGGCAAGCGUUAUCCGGAAUUAUUGGGCGUAAAGCGCGCGUAGGCGGUUUUUUAAGUCUGAUGUGAAAGCCCACGGCUCAACCGUGGAGGGUCAUUGGAAACUGGAAAACUUGAGUGCAGAAGAGGAAAGUGGAAUUCCAUGUGUAGCGGUGAAAUGCGCAGAGAUAUGGAGGAACACCAGUGGCGAAGGCGACUUUCUGGUCUGUAACUGACGCUGAUGUGCGAAAGCGUGGGGAUCAAACAGGAUUAGAUACCCUGGUAGUCCACGCCGUAAACGAUGAGUGCUAAGUGUUAGGGGGUUUCCGCCCCUUAGUGCUGCAGCUAACGCAUUAAGCACUCCGCCUGGGGAGUACGACCGCAAGGUUGAAACUCAAAGGAAUUGACGGGGACCCGCACAAGCGGUGGAGCAUGUGGUUUAAUUCGAAGCAACGCGAAGAACCUUACCAAAUCUUGACAUCCUUUGACAACUCUAGAGAUAGAGCCUUCCCCUUCGGGGGACAAAGUGACAGGUGGUGCAUGGUUGUCGUCAGCUCGUGUCGUGAGAUGUUGGGUUAAGUCCCGCAACGAGCGCAACCCUUAAGCUUAGUUGCCAUCAUUAAGUUGGGCACUCUAAGUUGACUGCCGGUGACAAACCGGAGGAAGGUGGGGAUGACGUCAAAUCAUCAUGCCCCUUAUGAUUUGGGCUACACACGUGCUACAAUGGACAAUACAAAGGGCAGCGAAACCGCGAGGUCAAGCAAAUCCCAUAAAGUUGUUCUCAGUUCGGAUUGUAGUCUGCAACUCGACUACAUGAAGCUGGAAUCGCUAGUAAUCGUAGAUCAGCAUGCUACGGUGAAUACGUUCCCGGGUCUUGUACACACCGCCCGUCACACCACGAGAGUUUGUAACACCCGAAGCCGGUGGAGUAACCUUUUAGGAGCUAGCCGUCGAAGGUGGGACAAAUGAUUGGGGUGAAGUCGUAACAAGGUAGCCGUAUCGGAAGGUGCGGCUGGAUCACCUCCUUUCUA
rnacentral:rRNA from 1 species